UACAGAGGGUGCGAGCGUUAAUCGGAAGUACUGGGCGUAAAGCGCACGUAGGCGGCUUGGCAUGUCGGGUGUGAAAUCCCCGGGCUCAACCUGGGAACUGCAUCCGAAACUGCCUUGCUAGAGUAUGGGAGAGGGAAGUGGAAUUUCCGGUGUAGCGGUGAAAUGCGUAGAUAUCGGAAGGAACAUCAGUGGCGAAGGCGACUUCCUGGACCAAUACUGACGCUCAGGUGCGAAAGCGUGGGGAGCAAACAGG
rnacentral:rRNA from 1 species